CUUGCAGAAACAGAGAACAACUAUUAUCAUCUUGUCGAAACCCAUGCUUGUGUGACUUCUAUUCCAUCUUCUGGCUUUAAUCACCUUAUUUCUUUACCUAUGACUGCAAAAACAUACAUCAAUUGCUGGAAAAGCUUGCCAAAGACAAAAAGUUGGGAUGAUCGGUUGAGAUGAAGAAUGGCAAAUAGUGGAGUUUUCUGCAAGACUUCUGAGGACCGGCUGUAGGUAAGAAAGGAAAUGUAAUGUCUCCCUUGAGGCAAAAGCUGAAGCAUGUGCACAGCAGCGGCGGUGUCUAGGGAGCAUGUGCCCCAUGUCAGGAGCUGGAGGGAGCUCACGGUGCCCUUCACCUAGCUGGUAUUUAGAGGAUGUGCCCAGAAGAUGAAUGCACUGCCAAGGCCUGCCUAAGCCCUGAUGAUGACUGAGUGGUUGCUCUGCUGAGACUUCUGCCUCGGACUGACCGUCUCUGUUUUCUGUUGCUGUCCAUUUGAUGGCUCCCAGUCCAAGUUCUCUGGGUCAGAACAUCUCAUUGUUGUGUGUGGUAGAAGUCUUGGUCAAUAAACCUAAGUUUGUAAGAUCUAUGGUAAUGCAAAUAAAUAAAUAAGAAUACAUUACUGUUCUGGUUCUGUU